ACGCUUCUGUUGUUUUUGGAGCAGAGCUGCCAGGUGAACGAACCUGAAGGAUGUGAGGCUCAGAGGAGACAGACUCAGCUCUGCUGCCUGAGGCCUCGACCCCGGAGGACGGCCAGCCCAGCCCAGAGGACAGCCUGGUCCACACACAGACAUAUGAGGAAGACGGAAUCACGACAUCUCAGAAACACAGGAAUGGCCACACGGCCCAGACCUACUCCUGAAGCCCACGAUGCCUGGCCCGUGGCUGGUGUGCAAAGACCAGCAUCCUCACAUUCCUAUGCGUGUGGACAAGGCAGGUCUCCUGCCCUGUGAAGGCUGGACGCAGAAGUCCGCUGGCACGCGAGCUGGAGGAGGGUGGUGUCUCGGCUCCUGGGCUGGAUGUGUGUGCUUCCCUGAGCUGUAGUCCCUGCAAAUGUCAUCCCAGGUCCCGGGAUCAGAGGUGGCCUCCUCAGUGCAGGAAAGACACAGCCUAAACAAGUUUUAGAAUGUGCCAAACUCGCACUUU